UUAUUUUCAACAAAACCUAUCGGGCACGACUAUCGCCCCUUUGCUAACGCCUUCUCCAUCUCUCAUGUGAUCAUCCCUUCCACCGGUGGUAGCCUCCUCUCCAUCUGGCAACUGGCGUCGGCUGCGAUCGUCUCUUUCGACGGCAUCAAAUUAGUUCAGGAAGCCAUGAAGUCUGCCCCAACCACAGGUGGAGUGAAGAAGCCCCACCGUUACCGUCUUGGAACUGUUGCUCUUCGAGAAAUUUGCAAGUUCUAGAGGUCCAGAAGAGUACCGAGUUGCUGAUUCGCAAGCUUCCUUUCCAAAGGCUUGUUCGUGAGAUCGCUCAAGAUUUCAAGGCAAG